rnacentral:rRNA from 1 species
UACGUAGGGUGCGAGCGUUGUCCGGAAUUAUUGGGCGUAAAGAGCUCGUAGGCGGUGUGUCACGUCGGCCGUGAAAACCUGCAGCUUAACUGUGGGCGUGCGGUCGAUACGGGCAUCACUGGAGUUCGGCAGGGGAGACUGGAAUUCCUGGUGUAGCGGUGAAAUGCGCAGAUAUCAGGAGGAACACCGGUGGCGAAGGCGGGUCUCUGGGCAAUUCCUGACGCUGAGGCGCGAAAGCGUGGGGAGCAAACGGG